UCCUAACACAAGACACAUCGAAAAGUCACCGAAAGCAGCCCAACUGCAGAUGAAGAACUAUUUGUCCGUUUGAAACCACUCAUGGAUGUAACAUGGACAGCAACAUUGGUUAGUGCAGAGUGACCUCCCAUAGCUUAAGACCUGGUUACAAGACAAGCUUCCCACUGCUGAAGAUCAGGAGGGAAGAACUCAAGAAAAGCAGCUGUUGCUAAGUGAUGCACCGAACUGACUGGAUCG